AAAAAGAUAAGCUAAAUUAUAAGCUAAUGGGUUCAUACCCCAUAAAUAGGAAAUUUCUUCUUUUUA
rnacentral:tRNA from 1 species